UACAGAGGGGGCAAGCGUUAUUCGGAAUUAUUGGGCGUAAAGGGCGCGUAGGCGGCUUUGCAAGUGACGGGUGAAAUCCCACGGCUUAACCGUGGAACUGCCUGUCAGACUGCAUGGCUUGAGACCAGGAGAGGUGAGUGGAAUUCCCAGUGUAGCGGUGAAAUGCGUAGAUAUUGGGAGGAACACCGGUGGCGAAGGCGGCAUCCUGGACCAAUUCUGACGCUGAGGAGCGAAAGCCAGGGGAGCAAACGGG
rnacentral:rRNA from 1 species